rnacentral:lncRNA from 1 species
GUAGCUGAGGUUGGCCUCAAACUCAUCCUUCCCUCAGCCUCCUUACGACUGUGAUUGCUGGUGUUGGGUGACCAUGCAGCAGUGUCUGACUUCCUCCAUGUAACAGAAUGCUCUGCUUGCCUGUCUUUUCUUUUCUUUUUAAAAACAGGUUUGACUUAAAUAUCCCUGGCUGUACUUAAUGCUUUUGUUGUGUUUUGAAGACAGGAUUUCUCUGUGUACCCUGCUGUCCUGGAACUCAUUCUGUAGACCAGGCUGGCCUGAAAUUCAGAGAUCUGCCUGCCUCUUCCUCCCAAGUGCUGAAAUUAAAGGUGUUUGCCAUUGGGCUGGAGAGAUGGCUCAGUGGUUAAGAGCACUGACUACUCUUCCAGAGCUCCUGAGUUCAAUUCCCAGCAACCACAUGGUGGCUCCCAACAUCUGUAAUGGGAUCUGAUGCCCUCUACUGGUGUGUCUGAAGACACCGACAGUGUACUCAUGUAAAUAAAGUAAAUAAAUCUUAAAA